rnacentral:tRNA from 1 species
CCUCAGCUAGCUCAGUCAGUAGAGCUUGAGACUCUUAAUCUCAGGGUCAUGGUUUGAGCUCCACGUUGGGGG